GUUGGCGGCACAAUCUGCAAUCUACGCCACUGGCUUACGUUGCAAUCGAAAAUCGUGUCCAGUGCCGUAAAUUGCAGUUGUGUGAACGCAAA
ensembl:ncRNA mir-978 mir-978 stem loop